rnacentral:lncRNA from 1 species
AAUAACACAAUCCCUUUUGUACCAAUAUUUGGCGACUUUGUGGUAUCAAUGAUCCUUAUAGGGCAUCAAUCUCCAUUGGCAUUGGUUGUUAUAUUGUAGUAUCACAUAGUAGCCUAGAAUUUUGUACUAUUGGUUGUGCUCCACAAUUUCUGAAAUCUAUUGCAUUGACCCUCUCUACAAUCCAAAUUACCUCUUCAAAUAUUUGUAGAUUCUUUAGCUUCACUUCUCACUAGACUCCAUGUUUCAAACAUUGUAAGAAUCAAUCCAUCAUCUCUACUUCCAAAACUUUGCCAAUUUGGAGAUAUAGGAACUGGAAUCAAGAAACCUAAACUUGCACCAACUAAGCUUGUAUAAGAUUUGACAACUGA